rnacentral:sRNA from 2 species
AAGCUUGGUGUCUUUGGAGAUGGGGAAAAUCUUAGUGGAAGGUGUGGGUGAAGUUCAGGAGUAUGUGGAUAUCUGUGACUAUGCUGUUGGUUUAUCAAGGAUGAUUGGAGGACCUAUCUUGCCUUCUGAAAGUAAGCAAUGAAAUUAGUUAAGCUGAGUUUUGUACUCUGAUAUACAGAGCUCCAAAAAAAAUAAAAUACUCU